UACGAAGGGGGCUAGCCUUGCUCGGAAUGACUGGGCGUAAAGGGCGCGGAGGUGGAUAUUUAAGUCAGGGGUGAAAGCCCGGGGCUCAACCUCGGAAUUGCCUUUGAUACUGGAUAUCUUGAGUUCGGGAGAGGUGAGUGGAAUGCCGAGUGUAGAGGUGAAAUUCGUAGAUUUUCGGCGGAACACCAGUGGCGAAGGCGACUCACUGGCCCGAUACUGACGCUGAGGCGCGAAAGCGUGGGGAGCAAACAGG
rnacentral:misc_RNA from 1 species